GAGUUUGAUCUUGGCUCAGGAUGAACGCUAGCGGCAGGCUUAAUACAUGCAAGUCGAGGGGCAGCACGUCCCGCAGCGAUGCGGGAUGGUGGCGACCGGCAAACGGGUGCGGAACACGUACGCAACCUUCCCAGAACAGGUGAAUAGCCCUCCGAAAGGAGGAUUAAUACGCCGUAAUAUAUAGAGGUGGCAUCAUUUUUAUAUUAAAGGUCGCGAGACCGGUUUUGGAUGGGCGUGCGCCUGAUUAGGUAGUUGGUGGGGUAAAGGCCCACCAAGCCUUCGAUCAGUAACUGGUGUGAGAGCACGACCAGUCACACGGGCACUGAGACACGGGCCCGACUCCUACGGGAGGCAGCAGUAAGGAAUAUUGGUCAAUGGACGGAAGUCUGAACCAGCCAUGCCGCGUGAAGGAUGAAGGCCCUCUGGGUUGUAAACUUCUUUUAUCUGGGACGAAAAAAGGGAAUUUUUUCUCACUUGACGGUACCAGAGGAAUAAGCACCGGCUAACUCCGUGCCAGCAGCCGCAGUAAC
rnacentral:rRNA from 1 species